AGUGCCCCGGCCCGUCAUGCUGGAAGUAAUCCAGAGCCCACAGAGGUGCCACCUGCUUCAGAGACUUUCGUUCUUGGGAAGUUGCGGCUCAGCGAGGAGGGAAUUCUGAACCUCUGACCUCGCUUGGAUGUUUACAGCGGCCUCCUGUCUCUGCCCCCAGGCUCACCGCUACUGUCCCUUCACACAGCUACAGACUGCCCUUCCUAAAACAAGGCUAAUCCCCACCAUGUCCCUGACAAAAACUUCCCAAAGGGUCUGCCCUGCCUACCACAAGGACCCUAACGACAGAGGCAUCACUGCAGCCAACCCAGGAUGUGUUCCAGCUAAGAACCUGACUAAAGCCUGCGUGGCCAGAAAAGCCCUUACCCCACUCGAGGGCUUAGGCUUGCUGGGGGUAGGUGGGACCUCCAACCUUCUGCAGAGGCUCGUUCUAUGGGUGCUACGAGUGCUCAGAAGUGCAUUCUGAAGAAAACUCCUUUUAUGACCUGAGGAAUUUAUAGAAGCCUGGGUGUGGAAGAUGAGAGGACUAGGAAUCUCUUCUUGGUGAACACAGGACAAAGCAAGGAUGCCUGUUUUCACCACUUCUAUUCAAUGUUGUACUGGAAGUCCUAGCCAGAGCAAUUAGGAGAAACAAGAACAAGAAGAAAGAAAGAAAA